ACCACCAACCCCGGAAGUGACGUCAUCACCUCAGGUGCUGGUAUAAUUCAAUAGAUACAGUACACUAUACAUAAUAUAUAUACGCACAAACAAAAAAUAGCACAAUAUCAUAUACCUUGAAAUAAUUAAGUAUGCAAUACAUGUACUCUCCCUCGUCCGAACUCAUUAUCCCCACGCAAGCGUACUGUACAGUGUGUAAUCUCACACCGCCAUUCUGAUUAUUGGCACCGCACCUACCUGUGGUAGUGUGCAUGCGCAAGCCGUCAAAUCACACUUGCGUACGCCUUCUAAUCGCACAUUUGCUUAUAUUAUGUGGUGGUAUCUGUGUUGUUGGUUGCACUAUUUACUAUUAGGUGCAUUCAAUAUCACAAAUCUUUUGGUUUUUAGCCCUUAACAGAUUGCUACCCUCUCCUCCGUUUAUUUAUUCUAUUGGAGUUAUUUUAGAGCAGUAUUUUCAGUCAUUUAGGUGCCGGUUUUGGAUUGUGGGCAUAGCCAUCAAGCAAGAUAGCGCGGCAUACACACUUGUGUAUACGACAUAUUAGCAGCGGUUAUUUUUACGCAAUGCACAUGCACGAUUAGAAGAAGUACACAAAUGCAAUUUGAUGGCUUGCGCAUGCGCACUACCGCAGGUAGGUGUGAUGCCAAUAAUCAGAAUGGCGGUGUGAGAUUAUACCCUGUACAGUACGCAUCCGUGGGGAUGAUGAGUUCCGACGAGGGAGAGUA